GCCCCGGUAGCUCAAUGGAUAGAGUAGCUCCGUCCUAAGGAGAUGAUAUAGGUUCGAUUCCUUUCCGGGGUACCA
rnacentral:tRNA from 1 species